GCUGGAAAAAAGCAAAUUAAGGGAAACCUUAAUACGCAAAACCACCGGCCUGUUGAUUGACUAUUUAGUCUAUGGCAGCGGAGUUACCAAG
rfam:Psychromonas ingrahamii 37, complete genome.